rnacentral:rRNA from 1 species
GAUGAACGCUGGCGGCGUGCUUAACACAUGCAAGUCGAACGGAAAGGCCCAAGCUUGCUUGGGUACUCGAGUGGCGAACGGGUGAGUAACACGUGGGUGAUCUGCCCUGCACUUCGGGAUACGCCUGGGAAACUGGGUCUAAUACCGGAUAGGACCACAUUUUGGAUGGUGUGGUGGAAAGUUUUUCGGUGUGGGAUGGGCUCGCGGCCUAUCAGCUUGUUGGUGGGGUAAUGGCCUACCAAGGCGUCGACGGGUAGCCGGCCGGAGAGGGUGUACGGCCUCAUGGGGACGAAGGUACGGACCAGAAGCCUACGGGAGGCAACAGUGGGGAGUAUGGCACAAUGGGCGCAAGCCUGAUGCAGCGACGCCGCGUGGGGGAUGACGGCCUUCGGGGUGUAAACUCCUGUGGCUAGGGACGAGGCGCAAGUGACGGUACCUGGAGAAGAAGCACCGGCUAACUACGUG